rnacentral:rRNA from 2 species
GGAUUAGUGGCGAACGGGUGAGUAACACGUGAGUAACCUGCCCUUGACUCUGGGAUAAGCCUGGGAAACUGGGUCUAAUACCGGAUAGGAACGUCCACCGCAUGGUGGUUGUUGGAAAGAUUUAUCGGUCAUGGAUGGACUCGCGGCCUAUCAGCUUGUUGGUGAGGUAAUGGCUCACCAAGGCGACGACGGGUAGCCGGCCUGAGAGGGUGACCGGCCACACUGGGACUGAGACACGGCCCAGACUCCUACGGGAGGCAGCAGUGGGGAAUAUUGCACAAUGGGCGAAAGCCUGAUGCAGCGACGCCGCGUGAGGGAUGACGGCCUUCGGGUUGUAAACCUCUUUCAGUAGGGAAGAAGCGAAAGUGACGGUACCUGCAGAAGAAGCACCGGCUAACUACGUGCCAGCAGCCGCGGUAAUACGUAGGGUGCGAGCGUUAUCCGGAAUUAUUGGGCGUAAAGAGCUCGUAGGCGGUUUGUCGCGUCUGUCGUGAAAGUCCGGGGCUUAACCCCGGAUCUGCGGUGGGUACGGGCAGACUAGAGUGCAGUAGGGGAGACUGGAAUUCCUGGUGUAGCGGUGGAAUGCGCAGAUAUCAGGAGGAACACCGAUGGCGAAGGCAGGUCUCUGGGCUGUAACUGACGCUGAGGAGCGAAAGCAUGGGGAGCGAACAGGAUUAGAUACCCUGGUAGUCCAUGCCGU